GGUGGGUUUGUAAGUCAGAUGUGAAAGCCUUCUGUUCAACGGGAGAAUUGCAUCUGAAACUACAGACCUUGAGUAUAGGAGGGGAGAAUGGAACUUCUGGUGGAGCGGUGAAAUGCGUAGAUAUCAGAAGGAACGCCGGCGGCGAAAGCGAUUCUCUGGCCUAUUACUGACACUCAGUGUGCGGAAGCUAGGGGAGCAAACGGGAUUAGAUACCCCGGUAGUCCUAGCCGUAAACGAUGGGCACUAAGUAGAGGGGUUU
rnacentral:rRNA from 1 species